rnacentral:rRNA from 1 species
UGCCCAGUGACAUAAUAGUUUAACGGCCGCGGUAUCCUGACCGUGCUAAGGUAGCAUAAUCAUUUGCCUUUUAAUUGGAGGCUCGUAUGAACGGAUAAACGAAAGCGUAGUUGUCUCUUAUAUAACUCUGUAAAUUAUCCUUUAGGUGAAGAGCCCUAAAUAAUAUAAAAAGACGAAAAGACCCUAUGGAGCUUUACUUAAUUUUCUUUACUGUUUAAUCAAAAAAUAAACUAUAACUUAAUAAAGUUUAGUUGGGGCGACUAAGGAGCACAAUAAACCCUCCUACCAUAAAUUGGACAUACUCCUAUGAUAGAUCCAUUUUCAUGAAUAUAAACUCAGCUACCCUAGGGAUAACAGGCUAAUCUUCCUCGAGAGCCCAAAUUGACAGGAAGGGUUG